GCACUGGUGGUUCAGUGGUAGAAUUCUUGCCCUUCAUGCGGAAGACCCAGGUUCAAUUCCUGGCCAAUGCA